GCCUUGAACGGGUAUCUAGGCAUAUGAUGAUGCAAGCAUUUCAUAUAUUAUUGUAUUUAUUUGUCAUUAAAUAAUACACAAGUCGUAAUAGCAUGAAAAAACUUUUAUUAAAACAAUAAAGAGAAAGAAAUAUAGCUUAUUAGUAAAGUGUAUAAUUCAUACCAAUAUAGCAAGUACAAUGGAUGUAUUGUUUCUAACUUCUCACUUAAGCUAAAUGUGUAGUCUUCAAGCUUAUAAACUUGUGCUUCAAUUCACAUAUGAAUCUAUAAAAAUUUAAAACAAAAAACAAAAACAAAAAACAAAAGUCUGGGGUUAUGCAUUGAUCUUAAUAAAACUCACCAUACAAGAAAGAAUUUAUACAAAAUUUGUAUUCCAACACUUAUAAAUACAAAAAAUUAGCAUGAGAAACACCUCAACUAUAGUCUCGGUCUCGAGCAAAUGUCCUAACAUUCUACCAGAAUGUCACAUGGCAGCAACUACGCCAUGGCACCCAAAAGCCUUUGUAGAAACAAGCAACUAACAUUAGCAGAAUUCAACAAAUCUGCUCUUGAACCAAUUCAUAAAGAAAAAGAGCAUAUGCAAAUUACACUACAAAGCAGUCUUGAACAGAUGCAAAUUACACUACAAACCCUAUAUUAUCAUAACCCUGAAAUUACUAAAUUGAACAGAAAAUCAAUGAAAAACCCUAGAUCGCGAAAGAAAAUCAAUGAAUUCGCACAACCACAAGAAAUACCUUACCUCGAAGCUUGUUCAAUGGAAGUGAGAAAGCUUAGAAUCGGCCUCAAUGGAGAAUAUAGAGCACGUUCAAUGGCGUGAGUUCAACGGAGGCCAGGCUUGGUUCAAUGUAGGUGCUGCUUCAAUGGAGUGAGAAUGCGCGUAAACCACUUCAAUGGAGAGAGAGACCUGCUUCAAUGGAGUGCAGAAGGAGAUGCAAAAACGAAGAGGGAAAGCAGGAGAUGCAAAAAUGGGAGGGAAAACGAGAAGGAGAGGGAUGAGCAAGAGAUGCGAAAAUGGGAGGGAAAACGAGAUGGAGAGGGAUGCAAAAAUGCCAGCUGCUUCAAUGGAGUGCAUAAGGAGAAGAGCAGAACGUACGAAGAAGAGGGAAAGCAGGGGAAAAAGAAAGAAGAAGAAAGCUAUCAUUAACCCCUUUUCUGCCGUUUUUUUUAAGUAGUUGGCAUCGGUUUUGUUUAGAACCGGUGCCAAAUCCCUUUUCUGUUUUUUUUUUUUUUUUUUUGUUUUGUAAUUGGCACCACUUUGAACCGGUGCCAAAUAGUUGAGUUGGCACCGGUUUAAGAGGAACCAGUGCCAAAUGUUAUUAAGCAUAUCCCGCCCAUUUCCUUUGCCACCGGUUUUCAAGAACCGGUGCCAAAGGUACGUUGCCUAAUUCAUUUUUUUUACUAGUGCUAGAUCUUGAGUUUUUGUUUUUGGUGGAAUUAAAGUGUGAUUUCUGUUAAUUUGUGUGUUUAUUUUGAGGAAUUGAACUAUAUAGCUGAUAUUAUUUGAAAAUUUUGAUCCUUCAACUUGUUAAUUGUAUUAAAAUUCUGACCAUUGAUUUGGAAAACAAUGAUUAUUCUUAUGCAAUUGAGCUGUUUUUUGUCAAAUUCUGGAAAUAUGAAGUUUUUCUAUGUGGGUAUUUCUGGUGUUAGUGGAAUUUCGACUAGGUUGCUGCAAGAUUUUGGUUUUUUUGGGGAGGGUAUUGGUGGUAGGGAAGGGGUUUCUAUAUUUUGAUUAUGUGGGGAUUUGCGAUUGAGGAAGCGGUGUUUUGGGUUGCUGGCAUUGUUUGGAACAGUAUGAGAAUUCUUCUCUACUGGUUAUGUUGGUACUAUUGAGGAACUUGAGUUGAUCUUGUGGAGUUGUGGGUGCUCUCGAUUGUUGGGAUUGAACUUUCUUUUUGGCUGGCUGUGUAAUGUAUUUUUUGAGUUUUUUUUUGUUUCUUUCCUUUAUCUUUUGACAAUAUGGGAAGUUCUAAUAUUGAUGGUAUUGAACUGGGUGUGAGCAGUUUUGGCUGGAAACCGACAAGGCAGCUUAUCUGCUCAGGCAAUAUUUCUUCAAUAAUCUCCAUGAUCGGCUUGGUACAAGGCCUUUUCUUAGCCUAAUUGAGAAGAAAUGGCUUGCUUUCAGCUUUUGUGUGCAUUGAAGCAGAGUCACGAGCAUGAUAUUUGUCAUGGUGAUAUUAAGUGUGAGAAUGUGCUGGUUACUUCUUGGAAUUGGUCCAUCUGAUUUCUCAUUUUUCUUUGAUACUGGGGGAAGAAGGCUUUGUUAUCUCGCACCUGAGAAUUAUAUCAGAUUGUAUACCCAUAAGAGGGAGGAGAAGGAUUCCAUACGUAUUUAUAUCGACAGUGCUAUCUCUAGUGCCAUGGAUUAUAUUAUGUCUCACUUCAUUUUAUUUAUUUAUCUAUUUAUUUAUUUUUUUGAUAGGGCAGCACACUGUAGUUUUUU